rnacentral:rRNA from 1 species
GAUGAACGCUGGCGGCGUGCCUAAUACAUGCAAGUAGAACGCUGAAGGAAGGAGCUUGCUCUUUCCGGAUGAGUUGCGAACGGGUGAGUAACGCGUAGGUAACCUGCCUGGUAGCGGGGGAUAACUAUUGGAAACGAUAGCUAAUACCGCAUAACAGUAGAUGUUGCAUGAUAUCUACUUAAAAGGUGCAAUUGCACCACUACCAGAUGGACCCGCGUUGUAUUAGCUAGUUGGUGAGGUAACGGCUCACCAAGGCGACGAUACAUAGCCGACCUGAGAGGGUGAGCGGCCACACUGGGACGGAGACACGGCCCAGACUCCUACGGGAGGCAGCAGUAGGGAAUCUUCGGCAAUGGACGGAAGUCUGACCGAGCAACGCCGCGUGAGUGAAGAAGGUUUUCGGAUCGUAAAGCUCUGUUGUAAGAGAAGAACGAGUGUGAGAGUGGAAAGUUCACACUGUGACGGUAUCUUACCAGAAAGGGACGGCUAACUACGUG